rnacentral:rRNA from 1 species
AACGAACGCUGGCGGCAGGCUUAACACAUGCAAGUCGAACGCCCCGCAAGGGGAGUGGCAGACGGGUGAGUAACGCGUGGGAACAUACCCUUUCCUGCGGAAUAGCUCCGGGAAACUGGAAUUAAUACCGCAUACGCCCUACGGGGGAAAGAUUUAUCGGGGAAGGAUUGGCCCGCGUUGGAUUAGCUAGUUGGUGGGGUAAAGGCCUACCAAGGCGACGAUCCAUAGCUGGUCUGAGAGGAUGAUCAGCCACAUUGGGACUGAGACACGGCCCAAACUCUGAAGGAAGGGAGCAUGGGGGAAUUUGGGACGACGGGCGCAGGCCGAACCCCGCCUGGCCGGGGAAGGAAUGAGGCCUUUAGGGUAAGAAACUCUUUUAACCAUGGGAGUAAUGACGGUAAGUGAAGAAAAAACCCCGGCUAACUUUGGG